rnacentral:rRNA from 1 species
UACGGGGGGAGCAAGCGUUGUUCGGAUUUACUGGGCGUAAAGGGCGCGUAGGCGGUCGUGACAAGUCACUUGUGAAAUCUCCGGGCUUAACUCGGAACGGUCAAGUGAUACUGUCGGACUAGAGUACAGAAGGGGCAACUGGAAUUCUCGGUGUAGCGGUGAAAUGCGUAGAUAUCGAGAGGAACACCUGCGGCGAAGGCGGGUUGCUGGGCUGAUACUGACGCUGAGGCGCGGAAAGCCAGGGGGAGCGAACGGG